rnacentral:rRNA from 1 species
GGACUACCGGGGUUUCUAAUCCUGUUUGCUCCCCACGCUUUCGCGCCUCAGCGUCAGUAUCUGUCCAGACAGUCGCCUUCGCCACUGAUGUUCCUUCCGAUCUCUACGCAUUUCACCGCUACACCGGAAAUUCCACUGCCCUCUACAGUACUCCAGCCAGUCAGUUUAAGAUGCAGUGCCCAGGUUAAGCCCAGGGAUUUCACAUCUCACUUCUCCAACCGCCUACGCGCCCUUUACGCCCAGUAAUUCCGAUUAACGCUCGCACCCUCUGUAUUACCGCGGCUGCUGGCAC